ACAGAAAGAGAUCGCGCAACUCAAACAGGAUGGAGAGACCAUGCGGAAAGAGACCGUGGGGAAUCUGCAGCGCUUGUCAGAGCGAGUUCAGGCCGAAGUGUCCGACCUCAAAUCGUCUCUUAAAAGCUGGCAGUCGGAGGAUAGUGCCCGGGCACUGGAGAAGCUGGCCCGCCUGGAGCAGGAGCUGAC